CGGGGCAGCAUGGCAGGC
rnacentral:misc_RNA from 1 species